CCCGCUCAGAAACUUAAAGGAAUUGACGGGGGCCCGCACAAGCGGUGGAGCAUGUGGUUUAAUUCGAUGAUACGCGAGGAACCUUACCUGGGCUCAAAUGUAUGUUGACGUAUUCUGAAAGGGAUACUUCUUCGGACAAUAUACAAGGUGCUGCAUGGUUGUCGUCAGCUCGUGCCGUGAGGUGUCGGGUUAAGUCCCAUAACGAGCGCAACCCCUAUCAUUAGUUGCCAUCAGGUCAAGCUGGGGACUCUAAUGAAACUGCCUACGCAAGUAGUGAGGAAGGUGGGGAUGACGUCAAAUCAGCACGGCCCUUACGUCCAGGGCUACACACGUGCUACAAUGGCCGGUACAAAGGGCAGCUACCUGGUGACAGGAUGCUAAUCUCAAAAGCCGGUCUCAGUUCGGAUCGGAGUCUGCAACCCGACUUCGUGAAGCUGGAAUCGCUAGUAAUCGCGCAUCAGCCAUGGCGCGGUGAAUACGUUCCCGGGCCUU
rnacentral:rRNA from 1 species